GAUCAUGGCUCAGGAUGAACGCUAGCUACAGGCUUAACACAUGCAAGUCAGGGGCAGCAUGAUCUAGCUUGCUAGAAUGAUGGCGACCGGCGCACGGGUGAGUAACGCGUAUCCAACCUUCCCUAUAGUAGAGGAUAGCCCGGCGAAAGUCGGAUUAAUACUCUAUGUUGUUCAAUGCGGACAUCUAAGUUGAACCAAAGGUUUACCGCUAUAGGAUGGGGAUGCGUCUGAUUAGAUGGUAGGCGGGGUAACGGCCCACCUAGUCGACGAUCAGUAGGGGUUCUGAGAGGAAGGUCCCCCACAUUGGAACUGAGACACGGUCCAAACUCCUACGGGAGGCAGCAGUGAGGAAUAUUGGUCAAUGGGCGAGAGCCUGAACCAGCCAAGUAGCGUGCCAGGAUGACGGCCCUAUGGGUUGUAAACUGCUUUUAUAUAGGGAUAAAGUGCACUACGUGUAGUGUUUUGUAGGUACUAUAUGAAUAAGGACCGGCUAAUUCCGUGCCAGCAGCGGC
rnacentral:rRNA from 1 species